rnacentral:rRNA from 1 species
UACGGAGGGUGCGAGCGUUGUCCGGAAUCAUUGGGCGUAAAGAGCGUGUAGGCGGCCCGAUAAGUCCGCUGUGAAAGUCCAGGGCUCAACCCUGGGAUGCCGGUGGAUACUGUCGGGCUCGAGUCCGGAAGAGGAGUGUGGAAUUCCUGGUGUAGCGGUGAAAUGCGCAGAUAUCAGGAGGAACACCAAUGGCGAAGGCAGCACUCUGGGACGUGACUGACGCUAAGGCGCGAAAGCGUGGGGAGCGAACAGG